CCUACGGGGAGCAGCAGUGGGGAAUAUUGGGCAAUGGAGGCAACUCUGACCCAGCAACGCCGCGUGAAUGAUGAAGGUCUUCGGAUUGUAAAGUUCGGUGAUGGGGGAUGAACACAAUGACGGUACCCCAAUAGCAAGCCACGGCUAACUACGUGCCAGCAGCCGCGGUAAUACGUAGGUGGCAAGCGUUAUCCGGAAUGACUGGGCGUAAAGGGUGCGUAGGUGGUUUAGAAAGUUGGCGGUGUAAUUCCGGGGCUCAACCUCGGCGCUACCGCCAAAACUAUUAGACUAGAGUGCAGGGGGGGUAAGUGGAAUUCCUAGUGUAGCGGUGGAAUGCGUAGAUAUUAGGAGGAACAUCAGGGGCGAAGGCGACUUACUGGACUGUAACUGACACUGAGGCACGAAAGCGUGGGGAGCAAACAGGAUUAGAUACCCUAGUAGUC
rnacentral:rRNA from 1 species